AAUGGCUGGGGUACUGAAGCGACAAUGCUAAGCCAUGAGGACUGUGGGGCCCUGGAACGAAGAUAGCAGGUGGCUGUGGUGAGUGGGCUCCAGGGUGAGGGGCACAGGGUAGAGGGUCUGGACUGACAGUGACCAGGCAGGUAAGUUGCUGCCAGGGCAAGUCCCGUGAUGCCGGGGCUGGGAUAAGAGCUGGGUGACGUCACUCAUGUCAGCCCAAUAGCGCCCUCACAGCACCGGAGGGGUGGGCCUGGCAAGAUUUCAAAACCUGAAUUAUUUAUUCCAGUAUCUAGAAAGCCAGCGUGGAGGGGGUGAGGGGUGCACUUCCCUGAAGCAGGAGGAGAUGGGGAGCCGGGAAGAACUUGGAAGCAGAAAGCCUGGCAGCUCAGUCCUCAGGGCAGGCCCCUCUCAGCCUCCUAUUUUAGGCAUCCUGAUGGGUGGAGCAAGGAGAAAGAGCUCCCUCUUCCCCAACGCCAUCUGCCCUUAGUCCAGGGGAACCACUCUGGGCAGACUUCUCCAGAUGUGACAGAUGUGGCCAGUCCUGCGGCAGGGGGACUGGCUGCUCCUUCUCCCUGUGUCUCUUGCCUUGAUGCUCCCUGGAAUCAUGCAGGCCUGUGGGAGGGGAAGAUGAGGUUAAGAGGCCUGAGGAUCCCAGGCCCCACUGGACACCCCCAUCACAGCACCAUCACUGCAGCCCCCAUGGUCAGCCUCCACCAGGCAGGUUUUGGGUUUGAGUGUGAGGCAGCAGAAGGUCAAGUGGCAGGGAACAUGGGAGGAGGAGGGGGUCGGAGCUGGAGAAGAGGAUUCAUUUCAGGUUGGAUGUGGUCUCUGCUCCCGAAUUACUUCUGAAACAGGCUGCUCUGAACUCUCAGAUCGCCACUGGCCUCCCCAUCACUCUCCCUCCCCUUCUCUUGAUUUAUUCAUUUUUGGAGGAUGAAGCACUCUUGAAAUUAUAAAUGAAUUCAUGUUUGUUUGUUUUACUACAUGUCAGCCCCACUAGAAUCUAAGCUCCAAGAGGAUACUGACUAUGUCCCAUUUCUGCUAGAGAACAGUGCCUGAUAUGUAAUGGGUAUUGAAGAAAUAAUCAUGGACUGGAUGAUUGACCUAAAAGGGAACAACCAGAGGAAAAAAGGAAAACAGAGAGAAUAGUAAUAUGCCUGGUGCCCAGGAAGGUGGGGGUGUCAGAGAGAGGAUCCAAGGGCAUCAGGGCCCCAAGACUCAGGGUCAGGGAUCCAUUUACUCCCCCAUCAGAGCUGGGUCCCUACAGAGUUCUGGUCUCUGCGAUGGGUGAAGGCUGCUGGGAGGUUGGCAUCAAAGGGGGGUAUCAGGGACUAUCUUCUACUACUCUGAAUGGCAAUUAUAUAUUUUUUAAGUUUUCGUAGCUUAUUGAUCCUCUGGUGAAAAAUCUUCACCAUUGCUGCAGAUAAAGCCAUUCCUGUUUGCCAGCACCAGCACCACACUCUUGUGACUCCCUGGCUGUCGUCAUUCUGUUCUUG
rnacentral:lncRNA from 10 species